rnacentral:misc_RNA from 1 species
GUAGGUGAACCUGCGGAAGGAUCAUUAUCGAAAAAGCAAUCCGGGGGGAGGCGACCGAGCGAAGUUUGGUAGAUCGUAGGGAUUGUCGCUGGCCUUUGGAAACGAAGGCAUGUGCACGUUCCGAGUUCUCCUCAGUCCUCCUUUGCCUUUCCUUUGGACAACCUUUCUUCACACCCGUGCACCCAUUGUAGGUCUCCGCGAGGGGAUCUAUGUCUUCAUAAAACUCUACGUAUGUCUAGGAAUGUAUCUAAAGCGUCGACCGGCUUGGCUCGAUGCCUGGUCGGCGACGGUAAAGAACGAAAUACAACUUUCAGCAACGGAUCUCUUGGCUCUC